rnacentral:lncRNA from 1 species
AGGAACAUGAUUCUGCCAGUAUUUAAGCAUUAUACUUGCUAACACUGAGAGCUUAAUUAUCUUUGAUGCAACCAGUCCGUCCAAGCAUCCAAAUGUACGAUUCAUGUGCCUAGAAUCAGUACUUUUGCAUGUCUGAUGCAUGCAGAAAUAUCCAAAUUCGGCCAUUAAUUUCCCUUUUAGUACUUACUAAUGUUUUUUUAUUGUUUUGGUUGAUCCAGAGUUGAUUUGGGAUGUAGAGAUUAAAGAACAGUAGGGCGUCAGGUUCAGAAUUGCCUUGGCAUCUUCCAGUGUGGGACGAUGUUGAUUGUCGGGAUUUGAAGAUAAGUGUGCCCCAUACCGUGGCUGAGCCUGUCGGUUUCGCACAGUGGCUGCACGACACCUCAUGGACCCGAUGUGAAGGUAGCAUAUGCUAUUCUACAGUGCUUGCCCUCUGAAAUCUUAAUUGUUGGUUGUACAGUUAGUGCUAAACUGCAGUAAUCUACUGCACUUGCAUCUGAAUUUUACAUUUAAUAAGUUAAUACUUGAGAGUUAAGAUAGAUCAGUAAUCUGGUUGGGGCUCUAUCGUUGUGGCAAUUUGGCAACCGUUGCUAGAGGUGAUAAAUCUACUGCACUUGCAUCUGAAUUUUACAUUUAAUAAGUUAAUACUUGAGAGUUAAGAUAGAUCAGUAAUCUGGUUGGGGCUCUAUCGUUGUGGCAAUUUGGCAACCGUUACUAGAGGUGAUAAAUCUGCAAGCAUAAAGUCAAUGUCCUGCUAUGCCGGAUAAUUACAGUGCUUUCACAUUAUGGUAAAUUUGUUUCCUAAAAGUAAAAUCUUUGUCGUGCCCAAUUCAUGGUGCAGGACAAGUAAGCCAUCCACACGAAGUCGGCGGCAGCAAGGGUGUGGGGCGUCGGGAGGAGCAUCUGGGUUGAAGGUUCUGGUCCUCGCCAUUGAGACUACCGUGUUCGUCGCCGAGUACAUCUGGUAUGUACGCAACGAACCUCCCUAAUGCAAUGUCGCUGCUGUUUAUUUCAUCUUUUGAUUGCGGCAGACUAUAUUCCACUAAGGCACAUUAGGGAGUAGCUUUGGGAUAGGGGCCAAACCUGCAUAUUUUGAUCAAUUAUUUUUAUUAGAUUAGCAAUGGGAGCUUACUGUUCAGUGAGGAUUUUCCCCCUUAAAGUCAUAUUGUUAAUAUCCAAAAAAUUUAAUGGGUGGGUGGUGAUGUCCCACUGCUUUGCCCUUUUAAUUCCAGCACUUAAAUAAGAAUUGGAGGGUAGACGUUGCACAAAUGGAUCAUGUGGCAUUUACUACUGUUGUAUUAUCAUAUCUAGCAUCUCUCUAUAAAAAAUAAAUCUAGCAUUAGUUUUGAACUUCUGAUGAUGUAAGGUAAACACAGAGGCAUAUCUUCGUCAUAGUUGCAUCCUUUAUAGCAGAGAUUUUGUUAUGAAAAAAUUAUUUUGUUGAUGGAAGCCUUUGUGCUUCUGUCACUUGGACGUGAAGUUUUUGUAGACAAUCUUAGGACGUGAAGUGGGAUGCAACAUCUAUAGAUCUACUGACACUGAAAGGUGGUUGUUAGUUAGGUUCUGAUUGUGCCAAUCAAUAAUACACAAUUGUUACUAGGGUUCGGCUACGGAUGCCAUCCAUCAACUCAUGUUUUAAAGUGUGCUUGUGAGAUGCAAUCCGAUCUCUCUAUCUUUCCCGCUGAGAUGCAGAGGAGCUCGGUGUUUUAGGGCCUGGCUGUUGCUGCAGGGGAAGGUGGAGCUGCGAGGAAACAAGACAGGUGGACAAUGCGACAGGAAGCAAGAAUGAAUUUCUAAUCAAUCUACUGUUUCCCUUGAGUCGGGGGGAACGUACCACGCACCACGUUGUGUUUAUUGAUCUGGAAUCCUAGAGGAUCACCCACCCUCGUAAUUCAGUAUUGAGAUGAUCUCCUUAAUUUCUCAAAUGUGUUUUAUUAAAUUGGAUUCCUGUAAUUAUCCUUGCUCUAAUUUGAUAGUUUUACCCUCCCGAGCAUGUUGUGCUUCCAUAAAAACAUGAAUAUUUCUCAGCCAUUUUAUUGAAAAUGUAGUCGUAUGCUUUCACAUUGACUCUGGAUAUUCUCCUAAACGAAGGUCAAGAACAAUUGAUUUUAUCGGCAACAGGAGGCGCUUAUCAGUCGCCAUCAAGUGCCUCAACCAGUGCGGCGUCCAGGUACACACAUUGCUUCAUCUCCUGUGCUAUCUCAUCGUCUAGACAAUAUAUCCAUGGGUGACCCCUAUACUCACCUCAUCUCCAGAUUAGAACAUAAGUGUCGUAGGAGGGUAGGAUCUAGGCAACUGCAGUACUGAUUGUCCAGCUAGGCAACAAAGUCGACGGGGCAAAUAACAUAAUCUUCAGAUAAAGUUAUAUUCGAAAGUCAGUAGGCUUUUCAUGAUUGCCAGUGGUAAAACAAGCAUAUAUUUCUUUUGAUUAUUGACAUAGCACAGCUUAGUAGGGUGGACCAACCAACAUUGGGUUUGGGAGGUCAUUUAAUAGGAAACACUUCGCUGCAAGUUUCUUCACCAUUGAACACAAUUCAUCACAAGACUUUAUAUAUGUUGGCUGUCAUGCAUGUACGUCUGCAACUAAAUAAUUACAGGAUGUUGUGUGCUUGUUCUAUGUCCAGCAGUAAAGAUGUUUGAAGUUUUGUACCAGUUUCCAAUAGAUCAUUUCCUACAACAAUAUUUGUUUUGCAAUCCAAACAAGUAAAUGUCUUGUAAAGAAGUAGAUGUUUCUACAUAUCAACACACCAUUCAAGUUAUUUACAGAAUGAUUUUCUUGGAGCGUUCAUAAUUUCAUGUAUGUUUACAUCAUUAUUCAUGUGUGGGUUGUAUUGUGUUUUCUUUCGUGGGGUGCCGGACACGCUACUGACGGUACUAGCAUGUUUGGGCUGGGGAGACAGAGAUGGUAUGCGGAGUAAGAAGAGUGAUUUAAGGGGAGAGAAAUCAUAACAGGGGUUGGUGGAGCAGAAGAGGGUGAAGGAAGACUUGUGGGGAGCUGCGAGGAAUAGAUUUUGGGGUAUGUUACUAUUUUAUGUGUGAUAUCAGUUCAUAAUUUACUGCAGCGGUCAGUUCUCUACUUUCUAUGUACUAGGUUAAUUCUAUUUGCUAGCCUGAAGUGUUUUUUCUAUAGCAACUAAAUAUUGUGAAAGUAACCCUGAAACAUACACACAUCUACUAAAUGCAAAAUUGUUUCUCUGUUGGUACGAACAAUCAUGUAGAUUACUGCAUGUAGUUUCGUUUUGCACACAACAUACUCUCCAGUAGUGCUGAAAUUAGAAUCUCAAUCCCUGUCCAUUAUACAAGAUGCAAAAGAGUUCAGAAUAAGAUAUCCAUCAUCAUAUUCACGCAUUUUCUGUUGUAAUAUAUAUUUUGUAUUUGUGUACAGGUUGACACAUUACACAUACAUACAGUAUGUCUAACUUAUGCAGAAGAAAAGGGGCCCUUCAUAUAAAUUAUUUGCAUGCUCAUAGUUAUGAACUUAAUACACUUUGCCUGGCAUUCAUAACCAUUAUACUUCCUCCUGCCCAAAUUUGUUGUCCUACGUAAUAGUGUUCCACUUUGCGCCUACCACUGGUAGCUGGAAAUUAGAUAUAAUAAUAAUCAGUUUCCUUGCUAGAUUUGUUUCCUUAUAGGAUAUCCUGCCGAUUUGAUCUAUUUUUGGCUAGAGCACAUGGGAUCAAACCAGAGGUAAUCAAUUUUCUAUGUUCACCUGAUUAGUUAUAAGGAAUUUAUUACCUCUGUUUUAUUUCCAGGAUACCCAAACCAGUGGUAAUGUUUUUUAUGGCUUUGAAAUUCUGUACAAGGUAUUCUCAUGUCUAAAUACUAGAAUUGUUUGUUCAUUGCUAAAUUGUUAAUGAGGGGUCCAUGUAGUGCUCUCAGUGGAGACACUAGACCAUCUGAUGUUCAUUUAGACAUUUCUAUUCAAACUUUCAAAGUGAUUGUUUUCUUUUUGUGUGUCCACACAGUUGUUUGUGUGCAUCCAAUAUAAAACUUGCUAUGAAUUUGCACCACCUACACCCUUUUUCCAUGUCUUAGUCUAUAUGAAUUACCCACUUUAUAUACCGCAAAAAGAAAUUACCCACUUUAUAAUAACUCACAUGUUAAUUAAAAGGAAAAAGAUCUGAACCAUCGACACUCUAUAAGUUAAGUUGUUCAACUAAAAUUUAACAAAGAGAUAUUUGAUUCCAUGGAUCUCUAAUUUUUCUGCAGUGUUGUAAUUAUAUUGUCUCGGGUGUUGUUGUACGUUCCUUGUAUCAUGUUGACUUACUCCUUGAUCAAUAGGGAUGUGGAUACAAAAUUCCAUUUUCCACUACUUAUAUUAUCCUCAUUGGACCUUAAGCUAUAAUCAUCGGUUGUUGUUGUGUGUCUGCCUGCCUGGCAAUGUUUCACCUCUAUUUUUGACCUACUGUUGACUUAUUUGGAACCUGAGAAAGAAUUAUUUUACAUGUUAGAGUACUCUCAUAUGUUCGAAGUCAUAAAACCAGCUGAGAUAAUGAAAUAAUGCCAGGUAAUUACUCGUGGUUUCAAGGUUGCGCAAAGGAGAGGAGGCAUGGUUAUAGGUCCUCGACAACAUCUGCGCCUCAUAG